rnacentral:rRNA from 1 species
GUAGGUGGCAAGCGUUGUCCGGAAUUAUUGGGCGUAAAGCGCGCGCAGGUGGGUUCUUUAAGUCUGAUGUGAAAGCCCCCGGGCUCAACCGGGGAGGGUCAUUGGAAACUGGGGAACUUGAGUGCAGGAGAGGAAAGUGGAAUUCCACGUGUAGCGGUGAAAUGCGUAGAUAUGUGGAGGAACACCAGUGGCGAAGGCGACUUUCUGGCCUGUAACUGACACUGAGGCGCGAAAGCGUGGGGAGCAAACAGGAUUAGAUACCCUGGUAGUCCACGCCGUAAACGAUGAGUGCUAAGUGUUGGGGGGGUUUCCGCCCCUCAGUGCUGCAGCUAACGCAUUAAGCACUCCGCCUGGGGAGUACGGUCGCAAAGACUG